AGAGUUUGAUCCUGGCUCAGGAUGAACGCUGGCGGCGUGCUUAACACAUGCAAGUCGAACGAAGCACUUUAUUUGAUUUCCUUCGGGACUGAUUAUUUUGUGACUGAGUGGCGGACGGGUGAGUAACGCGUGGGUAACCUGCCUUGUACAGGGGGAUAACAGUUGGAAACGGCUGCUAAUACCGCAUAAGCGCACAGCAUCGCAUGAUGCAGUGUGAAAAACUCCGGUGGUAUAAGAUGGACCCGCGUUGGAUUAGCUAGUUGGUGAGGUAACGGCCCACCAAGGCGACGAUCCAUAGCCGACCUGAGAGGGUGACCGGCCACAUUGGGACUGAGAUACGGCCCAAACUCCUACGGGAGGCAGCAGUGGGGAAUAUUGCACAAUGGGCGAAAGCCUGAUGCAGCGACGCCGCGUGAGCGAAGAAGUAUUUCGGUAUGUAAAGCUCUAUCAGCAGGGAAGAUAAUGACGGUACCUGACUAAGAAGCACCGGCUAAAUACGUGCCAGCAGCCGCGGUAAUACGUAUGGUGCAAGCGUUAUCCGGAUUUACUGGGUGUAAAGGGAGCGCAGGCGGUGCGGCAAGUCUGAUGUGAAAGCCCGGGGCUCAACCCCGGUACUGCAUUGGAAACUGUCGUACUAGAGUGUCGGAGGGGUAAGCGGAAUUCCUAGUGUAGCGGUGAAAUGCGUAGAUAUUAGGAGGAACACCAGUGGCGAAGGCGGCUUACUGGACGAUAACUGACGCUGAGGCUCGAAAGCGUGGGGAGCAAACAGGAUUAGAUACCCUGGUAGUCCACGCCGUAAACGA
rnacentral:rRNA from 1 species